rnacentral:rRNA from 1 species
CCAGACUCCUACGGGAGGCAGCAGUGGGGAAUAUUGGGCAAUGGGCGCAAGCCUGACCCAGCAACGCCGCGUGAAGGAAGAAGGCUUUCGGGUUGUAAACUUCUUUUCUCAGGGACGAAGCAAGUGACGGUACCUGAGGAAUAAGCCACGGCUAACUACGUGCCAGCAGCCGCGGUAAUACGUAGGUGGCAAGCGUUGUCCGGAUUUACUGGGUGUAAAGGGCGUGUAGCCGGGCUGACAAGUCAGAUGUGAAAUCCCGUGGCUCAACCACGGAACUGCAUUUGAAACUGUCGGUCUUGAGUAUCGGAGAGGCAGGCGGAAUUCCUAGUGUAGCGGUGAAAUGCGUAGAUAUUAGGAGGAACACCAGUGGCGAAGGCGGCCUGCUGGACGACAACUGACGGUGAGGCGCGAAAGCGUGGGGAGCAAACAGGAUUAGAUACCCUCGUAA